GAUGAACGCUAGUGGCAGGCCUAAUACAUGCAAGACGAACGGUAACUUUGAUAGCAAUAUUGAAGCAAGAGUGUCGUACGGGUGCGUAACACGUAUGCAACCUACCCUUUACAGGCGGCUAGCUCGGGGAAACUCGAAUUAACCCGCCAUAAUAUAGUUGAAUGGCAUCAUUUAAUUAUUAAAACCCAGGUGGUAAAGGAUGGGCAUGCGUCUGAUUAGUUAGUUGGUGAGGUAAUGGCUCACCAAGACAAUGAUCAGUAGGGGAACUGAGAGGUUAGUCCCCCACACGGGCACUGAGUAACGGGCAAGACUCCUACGGGAGGCAGCGGUAGGGAAUAUUGGUCAAUGGGUGAGAUCCUGAACCAGCCGUGCCGCGUGCAGGAAGAAGGCCUUCUGGGUUGUAUACUGCUUUUGUCAGGGGAUAUAAAGCUCGUGCGCGAGUAAUUGCAGGUACCUGAUGAAUAAGCCACGGCUAACUACGUGCCAGCCGCCGCAGUAACAC
rnacentral:rRNA from 1 species